UGCCCUAGUAACGGCGAGUGAAGCGGCAACAGCUCAAAUUUGAAAUCUGGCUUCGGCCCGAGUUGUAAUUUGCAGAGGAUGUUUCUGGCGCGGUGCCUUCCGAGUUCCCUGGAACGGGACGCCACAGAGGGUGAGAGCCCCGUAUGGUCGGACACCAAGCCUGUGUGAAACUCCUUCGACGAGUCGAGUAGUUUGGGAAUGCUGCUCUAAAUGGGAGGUAAAUCUCUUCUAAAGCUAAAUACCGGCCAGAGACCGAUAGCGCACAAGUAGAGUGAUCGAAAGAUGAAAAGCACCUUGAAAAGGGGGUUAAAUAGUACGUGAAAUUGUUGAAAGGGAAGCACUUAUGACCAGACUUGGGCCGGGCGGCUCAUCAGGGGUUCUCCCCUGUGCACUCCGCCCGGCACAGGCCAGCAUCGGUUUUCGCGGGGGGAUAAGACCGGCGGGAACGUAGCACCCUCCGGGGUGUGUUAUAGCCCACCGGACGAUACCCUCGCGGGGACCGAGGUCCGCGCUCCGCAAGGAUGCUGGCGUAAUGGUCAUCAGUGACCCGUCUUGAAACACGGACCAAGGAGUCGUCCAUUAGAGCGAGCGUUUGGGUGUAAAACCCGCACGCGUAAUGAAAGUGAACGCAGGUGAGAGCUUCGGCGCAUCAUCGACCGAUCCUGAUGUUCUCGGAAGGAUUUGAGUAAGAGUUUUAACGGACGGACCCGAAAGACAGUGAACUAUGCUUGAAUAGGGUGAAGCCAGAGGAAACUCUGGUGGAGGCUCGCAGCGGUUCUGACGUGCAAAUCGAUCGUCAAA
rnacentral:rRNA from 1 species